GGGCGCGUGGCCUAGUGGACAGGGCGAGCGGUUCCUAACUGCUCGAUCGUGGGUUCGAAUCCCAUCGCGCCCG
rnacentral:tRNA from 1 species